GAUGAAGAACGUAGCGAAAUGCGAUAAGUAAUGUGAAUUGCAGAAUUCAGUGAAUCAUCGAAUCUUUGAACGCACAUUGCGCCCCCCAGUAUUCUGGCGGGCAUGCCUGUUCGAGCGUCAUUUCAACCAUCAAGCCCUGCUUGUGUUGGGGUCCUGCGGCUGCCCGCAGGCCCUGAAAACCAGUGGCGGGCUCGCUAGUCACACCGAGCGCAGUAGCACAUCUCGCUCAGGGCGUGCGGCGGGCUCCAGCCGUUAAAGCACCCACCUUUCGCAAGGUUGACCUCGGAUCAGGUAGGAAUACCCGCUGAACUUAAGCAUAUCAUAAGGGAGGA
rnacentral:misc_RNA from 1 species